rnacentral:rRNA from 1 species
GUGACUCCUACGGGAGGCAGCAGUGGGAAUAUUCGCACCAAUGGGCGCAAGCCUGAUGCAGCCAUGCCGCGUGUGUUGAAGAAGGCCUUCGGGUUGUAAAGCACUUUCAGUUGUGAGGAAGGUGGUGUCGUUAAUAGCGGCAUCAUUUGACGUUAGCAAACAGAAGAAGCACCGGCCAACUCCGUGCCAGCAGCCGCGGUAAUACGGAGGGUGCGAGCGUUAAUCGGAAUUACUGGGCGUAAAGCGCAUGCAGGUGGUUUGUUAAGUCAGAUGUGAAAGCCCCGGGGCUCAACCUCGGAACUGCAUUUGAAACUGGCAGACUAGAGUACUGUAGAGGGGGUAGAAUUUCAGGUGUAGCGGUGAAAUGCGUAGAGAUCUGAAGGAAUACCGGUGGCGAAGGCGGCCCCCUGGACAGAUACUGACACUCAGAUGCGAAAGCGUGGGGAGCAAACCAGGAUUAGACACCCCUCGGUAG